GUGGGGAAUCUUCCGCAAUGGACGAAAGUCUGACGGAGCAACGCCGCGUGAGUGAUGAAGGUCUUCGGAUUGUAAAGCUCUGUUAAUCGGGACGAAAGAGCCUAGUGUGAAUAAUGCUAGGAAGUGACGGUACCGGAAUAGAAAGCCACGGCUAACUACGUGCCAGCAGCCGCGGUAAUACGUAGGUGGCAAGCGUUGUCCGGAAUUAUUGGGCGUAAAGCGCGCGCAGGCGGAUCUGCCAGUCUGUCUUAAAAGUUCGGGGCUUAACCCCGUGAUGGGAUGGAAACUACAGAUCUAGAGUAUCGGAGAGGAAAGUGGAAUUCCUAGUGUAGCGGUGAAAUGCGUAGAUAUUAGGAAGAACACCAGUGGCGAAGGCGACUUUCUGGACGAAAACUGACGCUGAGGCGCGAAAGCCGGGGGAGCGAACGGGAUUAGAUACCCGAGUAGUCC
rnacentral:rRNA from 1 species